rnacentral:rRNA from 1 species
UACGGAGGGAGCUAGCGUUGUUCGGAAUUACUGGGCGUAAAGCGCACGUAGGCGGGUAUUUAAGUCAGGGGUGAAAUCCCAGAGCUCAACUCUGGAACUGCCUUUGAUACUGGGUACCUAGAGUAUGGAAGAGGUGAGUGGAAUUCCGAGUGUAGAGGUGAAAUUCGUAGAUAUUCGGAGGAACACCAGUGGCGAAGGCGGCUCACUGGUCCAUUACUGACGCUGAGGUGCGAAAGCGUGGGGAGCAAACAGG